rnacentral:rRNA from 1 species
UGCAAGUCGAAACGGCAGCAUGAUCUAGCUUGCUAGAUUGAUGGCGAGUGGCGAACGGGUGAGUAAUACAUCGGAACGUGCCCUGUAGUGGGGGAUAACUAGUCGAAAGAUUAGCUAAUACCGCAUACGACCUGAGGGUGAAAGUGGGGGACCGCGAGGCCUCAUGCUAUAGGAGCGGCCGAUGUCUGAUUAGCUAGUUGGUGGGGUAAAGGCCCACCAAGGCGACGAUCAGUAGCUGGUCUGAGAGGACGAUCAGCCACACUGGGACUGAGACACGGCCCAGACUCCUACGGGAGGCAGCAGUGGGGAAUUUUGGACAAUGGGGGCAACCCUGAUCCAGCAAUGCCGCGUGUGUGAAGAAGGCCUUCGGGUUGUAAAGCACUUUUGUCCGGAAAGAAAUCGCACUUACUAAUAUUAGGUGUGGAUGACGGUACCGGAAGAAUAAGGACCGGCUAACUACGUGCCAGCAGCCGCGGUAAUACGUAGGGUCCAAGCGUUAAUCGGAAUUACUGGGCGUAAAGCGUGCGCAGGCGGUUGUGCAAGACCGAUGUGAAAUCCCCCGGGCUUAACCUGGGAAUUGCAUUGGUGACUGCACGGCUAGAGUGUGUCAGAGGGGGGUAGAAUUCCACGUGUAGCAGUGAAAUGCGUAAAGAUGUGGA